CCCACCAUAUCUCUCUCUCCCUCGCCCUUUCCCCUCCUCCUUCCCCAAAUCCCUAAAUCUAAACUCACCCCCUCCCCCCAAUUUCUCUCUCUCUCUCUCUCUAUCUAUCUGUGAAGUACUCCCGCAAUUGACCCAUUGCCGCUGCCUCCGCCUUCAGUUGUUGCCACCUCCAGCUUGAUCAGGCUUCGCCUCUGCGUUCGUAGCGGCCAAAUUAUCCUUCGCCUUCGCCGCCUCAAAUAAGGUACCUUUUAAUUUACAUGGACCGCAUGGUGUCUUGAGACAUCUGAAGUACUUAAUUGAGACAAAGGGAUCAGCUUUUGUCUAUGUGGCAGAGGGAGCUGGGCAGGGAGGAUUUGGAAUUGGGGCCAGAGGCGCACAACAGGGGAUUUUGAAAGCUGGGCGGCGCACAGAGCAAUUGAAAGAGUUGAAGCAGCGCACGAAGGAACUGAAGGAAUCAACUGAGGCUUGUGCGGCGGAACAGAGAGAAAUUGGGGAAACCUGGUAUAACAGAGAGAGAGAAGGCGGCGCACGGAGGAGCAAAGCAGCCAUGAAAAUCAAUAAUUCUUAGAUUUUAAUUUUGAAUUAAUUUUUUUAAUUAUUAAUUCUUCAGUUCUUGAAUUAAUUCUUGGAUUUUAAUUAUAUUUUUUUAGAAUUUAAUUAUGAUGAUUUCUGUUAUCAUGAUUGGCUAAAUUUGUUGUUAGCUAAGGUAACGAGAUAGCCACGAAACAAUGUUGUGAUUGAUAUUAUUUUCGGUUAAUUUGAUUGAUGUUUAUUUUA